AGGUUAAACAAGUUACUUUUUUACUAAUAGUGUCAAAGAAUAAUAUAAAAACUUGAUUUUCCUCAGUCACAUUACUUUCUUUUGUGAAUGUGAUUUCUUAAAAAAAAUGAAACAGUUAAAACUUACAGGUUUUGUUAUUUUCUUUUUCUUUUUGACUGAAUCCCUAACCCUGCCCACAAAGCCUCAAGAUAUAGAUGAUGUCCGUAUCACCAAGAAAUUUAUAGAAGAUAAUGUUGUAUAUAUCACCAUCAUUGCAUUUGCUCAAUAUAUUCAGGAGGCAUCCUUUGAAGAAGUAGAAAUGUUGGUCAAAGCCAUGAAAGAAUACAGAGAUAGAUGCUUGGCUGACAUGACACUCCCAGAGUGUUCAAAAUUAGCUAAUGAUGUUUUACUGGAAAAUAUAUGUGCUAUGGAGGGGCUGCCGCAAAAGUAUAAUUUUUCACACUGCUGCCAUAAAGUUGACUUUGAAAGAAGACUCUGUUUCCUCCAUAAUAAGAAAGCUGAAGUAGGAUUUCUGCCUCCUCUUCCUACUCUGGAUCCUGAAGAGAAAUGCCAGACUUAUAAAACUAACAAAGAAUCCUUUCUAAAUAAUUAUAUCUAUGAGGUUUCCAGAAGGAACCCCUUUGUUUUUGCCCCUACACUACUAACUGUUGCUGCUCGUUUUGAGGAGAUGGCUGAAACAUGUUGUGAAGAACAAGAAAAAGCUAAUUGCUUUCGAUCAAAGGCAGAACCUUUCAUACAAUAUUUAAAAGCAUUGUCUUCUUACCAAAAAAAUGUCUGUGGGGCACUUCUGAAAUUUGGACCACAAAUCUUACAAUCUAUAAACAUUGCUGUACUUAGUCAAAAAUUCCCCAAGAUUGAAUUUAAGCAACUUACCUCUCUCCUAGAAGAUAUUUCUUCCAAAUAUGACGGAUGUUGUGGAGGGGAUGUUGUGCAUUGCAUCCGUGGCAGGAGCAAGGUUAUGAGCCAUAUUUGUUCAAAACAAGAUUCCAUCUCCAGCAAAAUCAAGGAGUGCUGUGAAAAGAAGAUACCAGAGCGUGGCGAGUGCAUAAUUUACUCAAAUAAAGAUGACAGACCAAAUGACUUGUCUCCAAGAGAAGCAAAGUUUACUGAAAGUGAAAAUGUGUGUGAGGAACGAGAUGCUGACCCAGAGACCUUCCUGGCCGAGUUUCUUUAUGAAUACUCAAGGAGACAUCCAGAACUAUCCACACCAGAGCUAUUAAGAAUUGCUGGAGUAUACGAAGAUCUCCUGAGAGAGUGCUGCAACUCGCAGACCCCUCCAGACUGUUACAAAGAUGCAGAAAAGAAAUUCAAUGAGACAACUGAGAAAAGCCUCAAGAUAGUACAACGGGAAUGUGAACAUUUUCAGAAUUUGGGGAAGGAUGACUUGAAAUACCACUACCUCGCCAGGCUCACAAAGAUAGCCCCUCAGCUCUCCACGGACGAACUGACUUUUCUCGGCAAGGAAAUGAUGAUUGCUUUGGCCACCUGCUGUACACUGAGUGAAGAGUUUGCCUGCGUUGAUAAUUUGAUGGAUUUAGUUCUUGGAGAGCUAUGUGGAAUAAAUAAAAAUCGAAGCAUCAACCCCACUGUGGACCACUGCUGUAAAACAAACUUUGCCUUCAGAAGGUCCUGCUUUGAAGGCUUGGAAGCCGAUAAGACAUAUGUGCCUCUACCUCCCUCUCAAGGAUUAUUUACCUUCCCCCCAGACUUGUGUCAGGCUCAUAACGAGGAGCUCCAGAGAAAGAAAGACAGGUUUCUCGUCAACUUAGUGAAACUGAAGCCUGAACUAACAGAGGAGGCGCUCCGGUCAUCACUGAUCGAGUUCACUAAUGUGGUGGUGAAGUGCUGCCAAGCCGAAGGGCCUGAAGCCUGCUUCGAGGAAGAGGUACUUCUAGCUAUUUUGCCCCCAAUCCAGCUGGUAUUCCUGGUCAAACAAAAGAAAACACAACUCCUGUAGGACACUGCUUCCUCCCUACAGUGUGUCCCAGGCCAGGUUUGAGGUCACAGUCACUACACAACUAGUAUGCAGAUGAGUGUCUGAUAGGGUUUGGCACUUGGUGACGACAGGGUCUAAGAAAAGAAGGCAGAAAUCACAGGUUCUAAGGCCAGCAGUCUGGGUCGUGUCAUUUAAUCUGAACUGCCGUUCAUCUUCUGUAAUGCAGGAUGGUAGCUCUGAUCCUUUAGCACACCACCCAAUUUCUUAAUCGUUAAACUGAACUGUGAAGGAAAUCAUAUUAAUCUCAAAGGGAGGGGAAGCAGGAAGGACUUAGGAAGGGACAUCUUUCAGUGGGUGGCUCUGUCACAUUUCUGGGUCUCGUCCCAACAUCCCCCAGUAGAGAAUACCUGUGCGUGAAGGGAGGAGGUGGGAGCCAAGGGUGGCAAAGCGAGGGGGUAUGUCCCCUGCUGGUUCUCAUUCCAGGGAUGGAGGCUGCCAGCUGCCAGGAGCCUCAGGUACCUCGUGUCAGCCCCAGUGGGUGGCUCCUCCGAAGUACUUUUCUCUCUCUUUCUAUCCUUGCAACACCCACUCCCCUCCAGGCUCACAACUGGUGCACACACAUGUACUUCGUACACACACACACACACACACACACACACACACACACACACAGAGUUUUCUUUUUGGUUGAGAGCCCUGUUUUUCUGAGUCAGUGCUUAGUCAGUAUGAAUUAUUUUUUGUUACAAACUAUGUUUUAUUUAAAAAAUUAACGCUUAAUUUAAUUCGAGGGUAUUAAUCAACAUCCAGCAUUUCCCCAGGUGAGUGUGCGAGUUGAGACCAUGUAAAGGGGGGGACAAAUUCCCUGACAGUUUGUAAGAGGCUGGGGGUAUUAGUUUCCAGGUUCAUUGGAAGAACAUGUUCAUUGUCUCCUGUACCACGUGAGAGUGGUUUAACUUUACCCAACGUAAGACAACGUGCUUCUCUAAAUAUAAUCAUGUCUAAAAUUUUUCUAUUUUUUAAAUUGAAGUAUAGUUGAUGUGCAAUAUUAUAUCAGUUACAGGUGUUUAAUAUAGUGAUUCAAAAUUUUUGAAGGUUUCCUCCACUUACAGUUAUUAUAAAAUAUGGGCUACAUGCCUUGUGUUGUACCAUCUAUCCUUAGCUUGUUUAAACCCAAAUGCUUGUGCCUCUCACUCUCUUCCCUCUCCCCACUGGUAACCACUCAUUUGUUCUCUAUGUCUGUGAGUCGACUUCUUUUUUGUUAUAUUCACCAGUUUGUUGUGUUUUUUAGAUUUCACAUAUAUGUGAUUUCAUACAGUAUGUGUCUUUGUUUUCUGACUUAUUUUACUAAGCGUAAUGUCCUCCAAGUCCAUCCAGGUUGCUGCAAAUGGCAAAAUUUCAUUCCAUUUAAUACCUGAAUAAUACUCUAGUGUGUGUGUGUGUGUGUGUGUGUGUGUGUGCACGCGUGUGUAACUGUUGAUGGACACUUAGGCUGCUUCCAUAUCUUGGCUAUUAUAAACAAUGCUGCUGUGAACAUUAGGGUGCAUAUGUCUUUUCAAAUGAGUGUUUUUGCUUUUUUUUUGGAUAUACAUCCAGGAGUGGAAUUCCUGGGUCUUAAGGUAAUUCUGUUUUAGUUUUUGGGAACUGUUGGUGGGAAUGUAAAUUGGUGCAGUCACUGUGGAAAACAGUAUGGAGGUUCCUCAAAAAUCUUCCUAUGUGUUUUUAUUUCUUUUCUUUUUCUCUCUUAGGGUCCAAAAUUGGCAGCCAAAAGUCAGGCUGCUUGAAAAGCAUCAAGUAAAACCCCCCAAAGGUUCCUGAGAAAAGAGAAGACCAACUUACCUGCUUCCUAUUUGUCCUGUGGUGAAUUUCAUUUUCUGAGAAGAACACAGUAGAAAGAUUCUUCUGUAAACUUCAUCUGAAAUCAUGUUAUCGCAGCAAGCAAUAAACAACAGCAUUAUAAAGUUAUUUCUCAAAG